GAUGAGCGCUAGCGGCAAGCUUAACACAUGCAAGUCGAGGGGCAGCGCAGUGUAGCAAUACUGGCGGCGACCGGCAAACGGGUGCGGAACACGUACACAACCUUCCUCUUGGUGGGGACAGCCCAGGGAAACUUGGAUUAAUACCCCAUAACAUACUGUGAUUGCAUAAUUACGGUAUUAAAGAUUUAUCGCCGGGAGAU
rnacentral:rRNA from 1 species